UACCUUAUUACCACAAUGGUAAUUUCUCUUUUUCUACCUUUGAACCGAUUUCAACAUAUCGUAUCUCACGUGCAAAUUUUUUUUCCAUGGCACGGACUCGAACCCCCGACCUUCCGAACACCAACCCCAACCACUACCGACUGAGCCAC
ensembl:ncRNA Y66A7AL.1 ncRNA